CAGCAGCCGCGGGAAUACAGAGGGUGCGAGCGUUAAUCGGAUUUACUGGGCGUAAAGCGUGCGUAGGCGGCUUCUUAAGUCGGAUGUGAAAUCCCUGAGCUUAACUUAGGAAUUGCAUUCGAUACUGGGAAGCUAGAGUAUGGGAGAGGAUGGUAGAAUUCCAGGUGUAGCGGUGAAAUGCGUAGAGAUCUGGAGGAAUACCGAUAGCGAAGGCAGCCAUCUGGCCUAAUACUGACGCUGAGGUACGAAAGCAUGGGGAGCAAACAGGAUUAGAUACCCCAGUAGUCCCUGUCUCUUAUAC
rnacentral:rRNA from 1 species